GAAAAAUAGUUGUCUCCCUGCAACAGGUAUUGUCUCUCACAAGAACCAUAAAACUGGUUUCAAGCUCAAGAUCGUGACUCAAAGGGGCUUUCAAGGGUUCUCCUGCAACAGGUCCAAAUGGCACGGAAAAAGAUCAGAGAGUAUGAUUCGAAGAGGUUAUUGAAGGAGCAUUUUAAGAGGCUCUCCAGUACAGAAUUAGGUAUUAAAUCUGCGCAGGUGUGCAAUUGUUCUCCAUGUGAGCUUUGAUUUCGCAACAUGCAUGGUUCCUCUCAUUUUUUUGGGGGCGAGGGCAACAUGGAGAUCAUUCAUUGUUGCUUCUGAAGUUCGGGAAUGAUGUAAUAUAAUUGCUUGGCAAUGCCGAUUGCUCUAUUGACCUAACUCAAUUAGUCAAUUUCAGCUUCUUCUUGUUUAA